GCAAGAUAUCUCGUUCCACAGUUCGCAGCUAACGAUCGCGGUUAGUGAUACGUCGGAAGUCUGUGAUGGAGGUAGAGUUGUCGCGUUGGUGUUGUGGUUAAGCUUGUCGAAGGUUGCCUUGUUUUGCCGUAAUACACAAAACCCGCGUUUUUGCUAAUUGUUGACAGUAUUAUUUACGUACGACGGUGAAGUGAAGGCAUGUGUUUCGUGAACGUUGAUUCUCUCCGGUCGGCGUUUGUUCUUUGUUAUCCUGUAGUACUGCGGUGAAACUAUCAAGCGUUGUUGGAUUAUACGUGUAUGGUUUAAUAUCCAGCUAAACUUAUAUAAACAUGAAGUUGGUAGACCACGUUGUUCGAAGUUUUAAGGUAGCGAAAGUAUUCAGGGAGAAUACAGAUAAGAUAAAUAGCAUUGACUUUUCGCCGAGUGGAGACACAUUGAUUUCCUGCAGCGAGGAUGAUCAAAUUGUGAUAUAUGAUUGUGAAAAAGGGACACAGAUGAGGACAGUCAACAGCAAGAAAUAUGGAGUUGAUCUUAUACAUUUUACGCAUGCAAAAAACACAGCAAUUCACAGUUCCACAAAAGUGGAUGAUACUAUACGAUAUUUAUCCCUUCACGAUAAUAAGUAUAUUCGCUAUUUCCCAGGACAUACAAAGAAAGUUGUCUCGCUCUGCAUAUCCCCUGUUGAAGACACUUUUCUCUCAGGUUCGCUGGACAAAACAUUGCGGUUGUGGGAUCUGAGGUCACCGAAUUGCCAAGGGCUUAUGCAUCUGUCAGGAAGACCAGUUGCAGCAUACGAUCCUGAAGGACUUAUCUUUGCAGCUGGGGUAAACUCAGAACAUAUUAAACUGUACGAUUUGAGAUCAUUCGAUAAAGGUCCUUUCAUAACGUUUAAAUUAAGCCAAGAAAGGGAGUGUGAUUGGACUGGACUAAAAUUUAGUCGUGAUGGGAAAACUAUUCUGAUAUCUACAAAUGGGUCAAUUAUCCGACUGAUUGAUGCCUUCCACGGGACACCGUUGCAGACAUUUACUGGCCAUUUAAACAACAAGGGAAUACCCAUAGAAGCAUCUUUCAGCCCAGACUCGCAGUUUGUCUUCAGUGGGUCGACGGAUGGCAGAGUUCAUGUGUGGAACGCAGAUACUGGGUACAAAGUUUGUGUCCUCAAUGCAGAUCAUCCAGCACCUGUCCAGUGCGUGCAGUUCAACCCCAAGUACAUGAUGCUUGCGUCUGCCUGCACAAAUAUGGCAUUUUGGCUUCCAACUGCAGAAGAAAAUGCUUGAAUCUGUUGUGCACAGUGUCAGUCGAAGAUAACGACGUAUGUAGUGGUGAAUAAUCCCUCCAAAACUACAAUGCAGUAUUCUACUGAAGAGGUUCUGGAAGAAAGUGAUGACCCAAGAGCAUAUUUUGAGGAGACCAUUACCACCAUGGCCACCUGCAGAUGCCUGGGCAUAGCAUAUUUAGGUCGUGAGCAUCUCAUAUAUGAACUGUGCGUGUGCGGCCAGUUGUGUGACGGAAGUGUCGCUGACCUUGCGGCCUGUCUCCGUACAGCAACAAGCACUCCUGUAAUGAUAUCAGCUAACAUCUUCACUGAUAACGAUUGUGAUGAGUGAAGCAUAAAGACAAUGAUUCAAGAAAGAGUUCAGUGUGUGGAAAUGUUUAUUCAGACCAAAUCUGACAUGCAGGUUCAAAGAGCUUCCUAGUAUGAAAUAGGAAGCAGCCAGCCUCAUAAGCAUCGAUAAGCUGGUGAUACAGGAAUUUUAUGUAGACAGGAAUCACUGAUGUGAAGCAUCAUACUGGACCAACUGGAACAAAUGAAGCUGACACGGAAUGGAUAUAGUUGGCUUUUCAACACUCACCGCAAAAGUCUGUUUGGAGGACACUGCAGAUGCUGCAAAUUCCUAGGAUGAUUGUACAACAUGUUCUUUAGAAACAUUUACAGAAGUAUCCAUACUGAGUGCAAUUGUUGGACACACUGAGACCAGACAACAAGCCACAACAUAUGCAGUUUACUGUGCACAUUCUUUGCCAUUUAAAGGAGGAUGGAAAUUUUCUAAACAGCUUUCUGUGGGAUUAUGUCAAGGACAGAAUCUUCCAGAUGCUUGUCAACCACAUCAGUGAUUUAUUGUUGCUGCCACUGCCACGGUUGAUGUGAAUGUGUUGUAGCAGGUGUGGAUAGAGUUUGAAUGCAGACUGGGCAUUGUGUAUAUCACCAAGGCACACAUUGCAAAAUUGACUGAACUGCAUAAAAAUGUUGUGUGCCAUGUAAGCCAAACAUGGUAUAAAUAUGAAACUUCCUGGCAGAUUAAAAUUGUGUGCCGGACCGAGACUCAAACUCGGGACCUUUGCCUUUCACGGGCAAGUGCUCUACCAUCUGAGCUACCCAAGCACAACUCACGCCCCGUCCUCACAGCUUUACUUCUGCCCGUAUAUCGUCUCCUACCUUCCAAACUUUACAGAAGCUCUCCUGCGAACCUUGCAGAACUAGCACUCCUGAAAGACAGGAUACUGCGGAGACAUGGCUUAGCCACAGCCUGGGGGGCGUUAGUCAUGCUUGGCUAGCUCAUUUGGUAGAGCACUUGCCUGCGAAAGGCAAAGGUCCAGAGUUUGAGUCUCAGUCCAGCACACAGUUUUAAUCUGUCAGGAAGUUUCAUAUCAGCGCACAUUCUGCAACAGAGUGAAAAUCUCAUUCUGUGGUGUAAAUAUCUCAAUUAGUUUGAAUGGUGCAACGCAUCAAAGUUGCACCAUAACUUUGAAAUUUCUUUGGCAAUUCAUAUGGUGAUCAUAACUCCAUACAGCACUUGCUGUGACAUAGGAAUUUCUGCUGCCGAACUCAUCCUCUGCAUAUUGCCCAAGGAUUACCUCAAACAAGUAAUAAAAAUGCAAAAUAAAUGUUUCAACAUAUAUCGAAUAUCAUCUACAUGUAAAUGAUAGUUUCUCUGGACCAACCUUGCCCCAUAUAGUUGUUAUUAAAAUUAUAAUAAAAUUAGUUUUAUGC